rnacentral:rRNA from 1 species
UACGUAGGGUGCGAGCGUUGUCCGGAAUUAUUGGGCGUAAAGAGCUUGUAGGCGGUUUGUCGCGUCUGCUGUGAAAAUCCGGGGCUCAACCCCGGACUUGCAGUGGGUACGGGCAGACUAGAGUGUGGUAGGGGAGACUGGAAUUCCUGGUGUAGCGGUGAAAUGCGCAGAUAUCAGGAGGAACACCGGUGGCGAAGGCGGGUCUCUGGGCAGUAACUGACGCUGAGGAGCGAAAGCAUGGGGAGCGAACAGG